UACGUAGGGGGCAAGCGUUGUCCGGAAUUAUUGGGCGUAAAGAGCGUGUAGGCGGUCCGGUAAGUCCGCUGUGAAAGUCCAGGGCUCAACCCCGAGACGUCGGUGGAAACCACCUUGCUAGAGUCCGGAAGAGGAGAGUGGAAUUCCUGGUGUAGCGGUGAAAUGCGCAGAUAUCAGGAAGAAUAUCCGUGGCGAAGGCGGCUCUCUGGUACGGCACUGACGCUGAGACGCGAAAGCGUGGGGAGCGAACAGG
rnacentral:rRNA from 1 species